AAAGUGCUGUCAGAGUUGAGGAU
rnacentral:miRNA from 1 species